AUGGACGAGCUCCGACGGCACAGCAUACUUUUGUGCGCCCCCACCGACGCCCCCACAAGCCCGUGUUGUUCCUGCUUGCCUCUCCCCUGCUCCUGCGCUCUGUGCAGCACCACCAACACGUCGUCGACUGCGCCAAUGGUCAACUGCAGCCUCAGCGCCACCAACGACAUGAGCGGCCCGGCCCCGGCUCGCACCCGUGACGUGGGCUUGAUCCCGCAGAGACUGACGGACCAAGUCAGCCGCAAGGCUCCUCUCGACGGCGACGUUCAGCCUCUACAGUGCCAACCUUGCCUGCGUGUUGAUCUGAUUGUGGAUGGCGACCCAAAGCUCGGGCGUGCCUUGGCCACUGGGGAGGGCAUCAAGACUGAGAGUCAUGACGUAGAGGCUCAAGUGGUGCCCGACAUCGACAUCGACGAGGUACCCAAGCUCGUGUCGGCCCUGCUGGAGUGGCCCGCCUCCAGCCUUGGCUAG
rnacentral:rRNA from 1 species